CCUACGGGUGGCAGCAGUGGGGAAUAGUGCACAAUGGGGGAAACCCUGAUGCAGCGACGCCGCGUGAGUGAAGAAGUAUUUCGGGAUGUAAAGCUCUAUCAGCAGGGAAGAAAAGGACGGUACCUGAGUAAGAAGCCCCGGCUAACGACGUGCCAGCAGCCGCGGUAAUACGUAGGGGGCAAGCGUUAUCCGGAGUUACUGGGUGUCAAGGGAGCGUAGACGGCAGCACAAGUCUGGAGUGAAAUGCCGGGGCUUAACCCCGGAACUGCUUUGGAAACUGUGCAGCUCGAGUGCAGGAGAGGUCAGUGGACUUCCUAUUGUAUCGGUGCACUGCGUCGAUCUUAGGAGGACCCCCCGUGGCGCAGGCGGCUUACUGGACUGUACCUGACGUUGAGGCUCGAACUCGUGGGGAGCAAACAGGAUUAGAUACCCUUGUAGUC
rnacentral:rRNA from 1 species